UACGUAGGGGGCAAGCGUUGUCCGGAAUUAUUGGGCGUAAAGAGCGUGUAGGCGGUCCGGUAAGUCAGCUGUGAAAGUCAAGGGCUCAACCCUUGAAAGCCGGUUGAUACUGUCGGGCUAGAGUCCGGAAGAGGCGAGUGGAAUUCCCGGUGUAGUGGUGAAAUGCGUAGAUAUCUGGAGGAACACCGGUGGCGAAGGCGGCAUCCUGGACCGGUAUUGACGCUGAGGAGCGAAAGCCAGGGGAGCAAACGGG
rnacentral:rRNA from 1 species